rnacentral:pre_miRNA from 1 species
UGGGAAGCUCAGGCUCAUAUGUUUAUGUUGUAACAUAUGAACCUGAGCAUCCCGAA